GAUGAACGCUGGCGGCGUGCCUAAUACAUGCCAGUCGAGCGAACGGACGAGAAGCUUGCUUCUCUGAUGUUAGCGGCGGACGGGUGAGUAACACGUGGAUAACCUACCUAUAAGACUGGGAUAACUUCGGGAAACCGGAGCUAAUACCGGAUAAUAUUUUGAACCGCAUGGUUCAAAAGUGAAAGACGGUCUUGCUGUCACUUAUAGAUGGAUCCGCGCUGCAUUAGCUAGUUGGUAAGGUAACGGCUUACCAAGGCAACGAUGCAUAGCCGACCUGAGAGGGUGAUAGGCCACACUGGAACUGAGACACGGUCCAGACUCCUACGGGAGGCAGCAGUAGGGAAUCUUCCGCAAUGGGCGAAAGCCUGACGGAGCAACGCCGCGUGAGUGAUGAAGGUCUUCGGAUCGUAAAACUCUGUUAUUAGGGAAGAACAUAUGUGUAAGUAACUGUGCACAUCUUGACGGUACCUAAUCAGAAAGCCACGGCUAACUACGUG
rnacentral:rRNA from 1 species